AAGAAGUUAUCUUCACUCUAUAGUUUCAAAAUUUCAAGAUCUUUGGCCAAGGUAACGAUCUCUCAAUUUUCAAGUUUGAACCGAAGAAAUCUGCAAUUGAAGAUCUGGAGAUCUUUGAAUUUUAGUCAUCAUUUUCGGAUUUUUUUUAUGUAUUGAAUUUUCAUUCAAAUCUGUACUAUGUACAUAAUUUUUGAGGUAUAUGAAAUACAAGAAUUAUUUUUUUA